AUUGAACGCUGGCGGCAGGCCUAACACAUGCAAGUCGAACGGUAACAGGAAACAGCUUGCUGUUUCGCUGACGAGUGGCGGACGGGUGAGUAAUGUCUGGGAAACUGCCUGAUGGAGGGGGAUAACUACUGGAAACGGUAGCUAAUACCGCAUAACGUCGCAAGACCAAAGAGGGGGACCUUCGGGCCUCUUGCCAUCGGAUGUGCCCAGAUGGGAUUAGCUUGUUGGUGGGGUAACGGCUCACCAAGGCGACGAUCCCUAGCUGGUCUGAGAGGAUGAACAGGCACACUGGAACUGAGACACGGUCCAGGCUCCUACGGGGGGCGGCAGCGGGGAAUAUUGAACAAUGGGCGCAAGCCUGAUGCAGCCAUGCCGCGUGUAUGAAGAAGGCCUUCGGGUUGUAAAGUACUUUCAGCGGGGAGGAAGGGAGUAAAGUUAAUACCUUUGCUCAUUGACGUUACCCGCAGAAGAAGCACCGGCUAACUCCGUGCCAGCCGCCGCAGUAA
rnacentral:rRNA from 1 species